AUCCAGCUGAUGAGUCCUAUAUAGGACGAAAUGCGCAUCCUGGAU
rnacentral:hammerhead_ribozyme from 1 species